UAUUCUCUGUCUUGGCGCGUGUCACAGCCUCUGCCGCUAUUGGCCAGGGGGGUGCGAGAGAGCCCUUCGCCUACUUCGCCUUCACAAAAAGUGUCCAACUCCACCUUUAAAAGCGCCUCUCGCAUCGCAGGCAGCCGUCAGAGUCCCCCCCCGGGCACCCGAGUCGACGAGACGCGCUGCUGGAGCGACCGCUCCACUGCUGGAUGGGAGCCUCUCCAUCUCUCGUUGCCAUGCUACGCGUCGUGGUCGUCGUCGUGGUCAGCCGUGGUCGAUCCGCUGCUGGAUGGAGACCCUCCCCCUGCACUCUAAUCCUUUAACUUUUGGCGCAAGCGUGGGACAUAAGGAGGAGUUGCAGUCUCUUAUCGGUGGCUCCUGACUUCUGCUCACUGAAGACUCGCGGAGUCUGUGGGCACGUUGUGAUGAGGUUGAGGCCACAGCGAGGUCUGGGGCGGGCUGGGAGAUCCUCCCAGAGGCCUGAGCGGAGCGCAGCGGCGAUGACUCUGGGAGAGAAGGGACGAGGUCAGAAUUCUGUGCUCACCAAGGCGCUCACCGGGACUCACGGAGCGAGGGCCCACGGAGAUUUCUCAGGGAUGUAAAAUCCGCCGGGUGCUGCCAUGCCGGUGACUCCACGUCUCGUCUGACGGCAAGCGAGGCCGAUACCGACCAGGCCACAUAACCGCCAAUGCCACGACCACCACCGUCGACUAACUCGACCCGACUAACGGUGCAGCCUUCGUUGGCAGAGUGGCUUCCAACUCUCCUUACACCAACAACAGAGUAUCGUCAGCGAUUGAUUUCUCCUAUUUUACCAUCGUAAUCAUCUUCAUUUGCCCUUGAUUUCUGGAUCUCCCCCCAUCGCCCUCGCCCCCCAUCGCCCCCCCUAUUUCCCCCCCCCCAUCGCCCCCCCCCAAACAAACACCUCCACCAAACAGUGGAGUGGGGUGGCGGGCGGGGGGGACAAGGACGUACAUUCUGGAGCCCCAGUGGAAAUGUAAGCCCUGAUCAUCGUCACCGCCAUCGCCAUCGAUCAUCAUUUCACUUUUAUUUUCAUUUAAUUUUGUAAACUUUGCAGCUGGCGUCUCUCCCGUAAUGUUAUUUAAUUUAUAACCUCAUGCGGUCGUGCGCGGACUCCGAUCAGACUUGCACGCUGGGCGGACCGCAGCUUUAAGACCUGACGGAGUUGUUUUUGUCGACGGACGAAGGCUUGUGGAUUGUGGCGGGCAAAAAUGGCUCCCCGUUUAUCGAUUGGUGACCAAAAUCCUGAUCGUUCAAUAACGUGCAGGUCACUUAUCGUGGCUGUGAGGCCUCGGGGCUCCAGUCGGUAAGCCAUCGCAGACUACAAACAGCCUUGAAAAAGAAAGAAAAAAACUUAAAUAGCUGACGUUUCAGGCAAUGGCCCUUCUUCAUGGCACGCAACUAGAGACAGGCCAGUUGAGACCGAGCGGGUAAUGAGAGCUGGGAGAUUGCUCGUAAUACCGUGGUGCCUGAUGAUGAAGGUUAAAAAAAAACCGCGUUGUUCCUCCUUAUGACCGGGGUUUUAAAUUGAAACAUGAAUAGUCAUCCUCCUGUGAGUAGCUGUCGAGUUCUGACGGACAAACCCUUCGUUAAUCAAAAAGGCCUCGCUUCACAAAUGGUUGCAUAGGAACGCGUCCAUUGGGGAAGGGCGCUAGGGAAUGGGUGGGGGCGCUGCGCGAUACACCCCCCCCGCCUUGGAA